CCAAGUGCUCACCUACUUGAAUGUUUGUUAAAAAAUCAACGUUGUUUGUUAAAACCAGGUCCAAACAAGCAUCCUUUCUAGUUGGUACUUGUAAAACUUGUGACAUGAAGGUGUCAUUUAACAAGUUUAAAAACUUAAUUCCGUUGCUGAGCUACUAGUCUCUCUGUCCCAAUUUAUGUCCAGGUAAUUAAAAUCUCCAAUAAUUAAAGUGUUAC